rnacentral:rRNA from 1 species
GACGAACGCUGGCGGCGUGCUUAACACAUGCAAGUCGAACGGAAAGGCCCUGCUUUUGUGGGGUGCUCGAGUGGCGAACGGGUGAGUAACACGUGAGUAACCUGCCCUUGACUUUGGGAUAACUUCAGGAAACUGGGGCUAAUACCGGAUAGGAGCUCCUGCUGCAUGGUGGGGGUUGGAAAGUGUCGGCGGUUGGGGAUGGACUCGCGGCUUAUCAGCUUGUUGGUGGGGUAGUGGCUUACCAAGGCUUUGACGGGUAGCCGGCCUGAGAGGGUGACCGGCCACACUGGGACUGAGAUACGGCCCAUACUCCUACGGGAGGCAGCAGUGGGGAAUAUUGCACAAUGGGCGGAAGCCUGAUGCAGCAACGCCGCGUGCGGGAUGACGGCCUUCGGGUUGUAAACCGCUUUCGCCUGUGACGAAGCGUGAGUGACGGUAAUGGGUAAAGAAGCACCGGCUAACUACGUG